rnacentral:rRNA from 1 species
UACGUAGGGGCCUAGCGUUGUCCGGAAUUAUUGGGCGUAAAGAGCUCGUAGGCGGUCUGUCGCGUCGGCUGUGAAAACCCGGGGCUCAACCCCGGGCCUGCAGUCGAUACGGGCAGACUAGAGUGCGGUAGGGGAGACUGGAAUUCCUGGUGUAGCGGUGAAAUGCGCAGAUAUCAGGAGGAACACCGGUGGCGAAGGCGGGUCUCUGGGCCGUAACUGACGCUGAGGAGCGAAAGCGUGGGGAGCGAACAGG